UACGGAGGGUGCGAGCGUUGUCCGGAAUCAUUGGGCGUAAAGGGCGCGUAGGUGGCCCGGUCAGUUCGUGGUGAAAGCGCGGGGCUCAACCCUGCGUCGGCCAUGAAUACUGCCGCGGCUGGAGCACUGUAGAGGCAGGCGGAAUUCCGGGUGUAGCGGUGGAAUGCGUAGAGAUCCGGAAGAACACCGGUGGCGAAGGCGGCAUCCUGGACCGACACUGACGCUGAGGAGCGAAAGCCAGGGGAGCAAACGGG
rnacentral:rRNA from 1 species